GGACGAACGCUGGCGGCGUGCUUAACACAUGCAAGUCUUACGAGAAAGUUACGUUCGGAACUGAGUAAAGUGGCGUACGGGUGCGUAACACGUAGGUAACCUGCCUUUGAGAGGGGAUAACAUGCCGAAAGGCGUGCUAAUACCACAUAAUGUCUCCGAAACUACGGUUUUGCGAUCAACAGAUGGCCUCUAUUUAUAAG
rnacentral:rRNA from 1 species